rnacentral:rRNA from 1 species
GCUGGCACCUCCGGUGUCCGCGUUGUAAUCUCGAGACGUGUUUUCCGUGCGGCUCUAUGGACAAGUCCCUUGGAAUAGGGCAUCGUAGAGGGUGAGAAUCCCGUACUUGCCAUGGAAGAACCGUGCUUUGCGAUACACGCUCUAAGAGUCGAGUUGUUUGGGAUUGCAGCUCAAAAUGGGUGGUAGACUCCAUCUAAAGCUAAAUAUCGGGGAGAGACCGAUAGCGAACAAGUACCGUGAGGGAAAGAUGAAAAGCACUUUGGAAAGAGAGUUAAAAGUACGUGAAAUUGUCGAAAGGGAAGCACUUGAAGUCAGCCAUGCUGCUUGAGACUCAGCCUGGCCUUUGGGCUUGGUGUAUUUCUCGGUGGCAAGCCAGCAUUGGUUUGGGUCGUCGGAGAAGCGCAUAGGGAAUGUGGCGUCUCCGGACGUGUUAUAGCCUUAUGCAGGAUACGACGACCUGGAUCAAGGAACGCAGUGUGCCCUCUGG